rnacentral:lncRNA from 1 species
GGACCUAAUUAAAAAUAGGGAACAAAUAUGAGGACUAAAAUAUAUAUUUAACCUUUAUAUUUCCAUUAAAGGCAUUUGUUUCAUUAUGCCACUAUAAACUCCUUUGUUUUCCUCUACAACUAGAAAACGCGAACACUAUUGUCAUUCCUAGCCCUUUCUUCGUUGCCAUUGCCAACGUGAAUGUCGCUCCAUUCUCUUCCCUUCACUUGCCACUACGACGCAAACAUUGUCACAGUGUAUCUUUUCUCGCAAGAGGUUUCCUAACUUCAUCAUUUCGUAUCCACAUUCUUCAUGCGAGACACAUUGCUCCAAUUCUUCAUUGCCUAACUUGGUUGUCGCCAACGUCUCCUCCUAGCCAUUCCUCUGCAACUACGGAAUGCGAAUUCGUCAUUGUUGUAAUCUCUUCCCUUC